AGAGUUUGAUCAUGGCUCAGGACGAACGCUGGCGGCGUGCUUAACACAUGCAAGUCGAACGGGGUUCAUCGCUUCGGUGGUGGAUCUAGUGGCGAACGGGUGAGUAACACGUGGGUAACCUGCCCCCGGCUUCGGGAUAACUCCAAGAAAUUGGGGCUAAUACCGGAUGUGACCGCUGGCCGCAUGGUCUGGUGGUGGAAAGGGUUUCCGGCUGGGGAUGGGCCCGCGGCCUAUCAGCUUGUUGGUGGGGUAGUGGCCUACCAAGGCGACGACGGGUAGCCGGCCUGAGAGGGUGACCGGCCACACUGGGACUGAGACACGGCCCAGACUCCUACGGGAGGCAGCAGUGGGGAAUAUUGCGCAAUGGGCGGAAGCCUGACGCAGCGACGCCGCGUGGGGGAUGACGGCCUUCGGGUUGUAAACCUCUUUCAGCAGGGACGAAGCGGAAGUGACGGUACCUGCAGAAGAAGCACCGGCCAACUACGUGCCAGCAGCCGCGGUAAUACGUAGGGUGCAAGCGUUGUCCGGAAUUAUUGGGCGUAAAGAGCUCGUAGGCGGUUUGUCGCGUCGGCUGUGAAAACCCGAGGCUCAACCUCGGGCCUGCAGUCGAUACGGGCAAACUAGAGUACUGCAGGGGAGACUGGAAUUCCUGGUGUAGCGGUGAAAUGCGCAGAUAUCAGGAGGAACACCGGUGGCGAAGGCGGGUCUCUGGGCAGUAACUGACGCUGAGGAGCGAAAGCGUGGGGAGCGAACAGGAUUAGAUACCCUAGUAGUCC
rnacentral:rRNA from 1 species